rnacentral:piRNA from 1 species
UAAUUAGCCAGGGAGAUCUCUCUCAUCC